UUCCAGUGCCCUCCAUCCCCAUUCCCUCUCUCUCUCUCUCACUCCUAGCGCCCUCCGCCUCCAUUCUCUCUCUCUCUCUCUCUCUCUCUCUCUCUCUCUCUCAGCACCCUCUUCCCCUAGUACCUUUCCCUCCCUCCCUCUCUCUCUCUCUCUACAACUUGGAGCAGAUCUAGUUUUGAUUUCCUUUAGCCUUUCCCCCUUCACUCGUUUUUAGGGUUUUGAAUAUGGCUUGGAGCAAAUCUAGUUGAGGUCGAAGCAUUUGGUGGAGGGUUUCUUGUAGAAAUUGCAUUUUGUGAGAAGUCCUGUUUUUUGAUUUUUUAGGCGUUUGGAGUUAUAGAUCUGAUUGGCAUUAAAGUGCAAAUUCCAGACGUGCUGAAGAAAGGGGAAGAGGAGUCCGAUUUCUAGACGUGCAGGGGCCUAAUUUUAUCAUGUGAGGUGGGUUUUUUCAAAGGGAUUUUGAAGAUUCUCGAGAAGGACGAGCAAAAUUCUAUGGGGUGGGACUGGAAGAGAUUUUUAAGAUAUUUUUUGAAGUGAGUUUUGAUCCUUGCAAGGAAGCUACUUCGUUCUUCUGAUGAUGUGGGACUUCACUUCUUUAUAUUUUACUGCGUCGAUGCUUGUCCAUUUCUGUGCACCCAACAAUCCUGCUAAAAGAAAAGUAUGGCCAAUUGAGAAGCUGAGGAAGUUUGAGGUCCCCAAAGCUCCAAAAUAUAUUUUCCUAUCAUUUGUCUACUGUGACAUGCACCAAUACACUGCCAACACUCUUAUGUAACCUCUCUUGCUGCAGUAGAAAAAAAAAAUGUAAUUUCUAUCUCAAAAUCCUCAAGCAAAUUUCAUUUAUUUUUUGUGUUAGUUUCAUUUGAUAGCAUACGAAAGACACGUCUCUUCAAUUUAUACAUUUUCUUGUGGAAGGUCUUUUCUUGUUUGACAGGGAACUUUAUUAACACAAAGAUCUCUAAAAACAUGUUUUCCCAAUCUGAGCUACAAUCAAAUUGUAGGACACUUUUUUUUGCCCUUAUGUUUGUCAUCCCCUGCUCAAUUAAAAAAAUAAUGCUGCCUAGAUGCCUAGCGGUGUUGAUAGCAAUCAGGUUGUAGACCUUUAUCCUAUAUAUGCAUUGACAGAUGCAGGUGAAAAGUUUGGAGCUCUAUUAUGAGCAUCAUUUCUUUGAUUUCUAUUUUCUUUCUAGACUUUUCAUGGUGCUU